AGACCCGAAACCCGGUGAUCUAGCCAUGGGCAGGUUGAAGGUUGGGUAACACUAACUGGAGGACCGAACCGACUAAUGUUGAAAAAUUAGCGGAUGACCUGUGGCUGGGGGUGAAAGGCCAAUCAAACCGGGAGAUAGCUGGUUCUCCCCGAAAGCUAUUUAGGUAGCGCCUCGUGAAUUCAUCUCCGGGGGUAGAGCACUGUUUCGGCUAGGGGGCCAUCCCGGCUUACCAACCCGAUGCAAACUGCGAAUACCGGAGAAUGUUAUCACGGGAGACACACGGCGGGUGCUAACGUCCGUCGUGAAGAGGGAAACAACCCAGACCGCCAGCUAAGGUCCCAAAGUCAUGGUUAAGUGGGAAACGAUGUGGGAAGGCCCAGACAGCCAGGAUGUUGGCUUAGAAGCAGCCAUCAUUUAAAGAAAGCGUAAUAGCUCACUGGUCGAGUCGGCCUGCGCGGAAGAUGUAACGGGGCUAAACCAUGCACCGAAGCUGCGGCAGCGACACUGUGUGUUGUUGGGUAGGGGAGCGUUCUGUAAGCCUGUGAAGGUGUGUCGUGAGGCAUGCUGGAGGUAUCAGAAGUGCGAAUGCUGACAUAAGUAACGAUAAAGCGGGUGAAAAGCCCGCUCGCCGGAAGACCAAGGGUUCCUGUCCAACGUUAAUCGGGGCAGGGUGAGUCGACCCCUAAGGCGAGGCCGAAAGGCGUAGUCGAUGGGAAACGGGUUAAUAUUCCCGUACUUGGUGUUACUGCGAAGGGGGGACGGAGAAGGCUAUGUUGGCCGGGCGACGGUUGUCCCGGUUUAAGCGUGUAGGUGUGUGUUCCAGGUAAAUCCGGUUCACUUUAACACUGAGGCGUGACGACGAGGCACUACGGUGCUGAAGCAACAAAUGCCCUGCUUCCAGGAAAAGCCUCUAAGCAUCAGGUAACAUCAAAUCGUACCCCAAACCGACACAGGUGGUCAGGUAGAGAAUACCAAGGCGCUUGAGAGAACUCGGGUGAAGGAACUAGGCAAAAUGGUGCCGUAACUUCGGGAGAAGGCACGCUGACACGUAGGUGAAGUGAUUUACUCAUGGAGCUGAAGUCAGUCGAAGAUACCAGCUGGCUGCAACUGUUUAUUAAAAACACAGCACUGUGCAAACACGAAAGUGGACGUAUACGGUGUGACGCCUGCCCGGUGCCGGAAGGUUAAUUGAUGGGGUCAGCGCAAGCGAAGCUCCUGAUCGAAGCCCCGGUAAACGGCGGCCGUAACUAUAACGGUCCUAAGGUAGCGAAAUUCCUUGUCGGGUAAGUUCCGACCUGCACGAAUGGCGUAAUGAUGGCCAGGCUGUCUCCACCCGAGACUCAGUGAAAUUGAACUCGCUGUGAAGAUGCAGUGUACCCGCGGCAAGACGGAAAGACCCCGUGAACCUUUACUAUAGCUUGACACUGAACAUUGAGCCUUGAUGUGUAGGAUAGGUGG
rnacentral:rRNA from 1 species